AGCUCCAAUAGCGUAUAUUAAAGUUGCUGCAGUUAAAAAGCUCGUAGUUGGAUUUGUGGGAUGGCCGUCCGGCGGGGGGCCAUUUAUUGGUCCCGUUUGUCCUGGUUUUCGGCCUUCCCUUUCUCGGGUCUAGUGUAUUGGCUGGCAUUAGGUUGUCGGCCGCUUCGCGCCCGUCGUUUACUGUGAAAAAAUUAGAGUGUUCAAAGCAGGCUUAGGCCGUUGGAUACAUUAGUAUGGAAUAAUGAGAUAGGGCCACCGCGGUCUAUUUUGUUGGUUUGCACGUUGUGGUAAUGAUUAACAGGAACGGUUGGGGGUAUUCGUAUUCAAUUGUCAGAGGUGAAAUUCUUGGAUUUGUGGAAGACGAACUACUGCGAAAGCAUUUACCAAGGAUGUUUUCAUU
rnacentral:rRNA from 1 species